rnacentral:sRNA from 2 species
GCCUCCGUCAUCUGGGGAGUAGCCAGCCGUCGUUCGCGACGGGCCACCGUGUCAACAUACUCGGCCGAGAGGUCGUGGUGCGGUGGAAGCGGGAGACCGCUUGGGCGAGACCAAUGGCAUCGACCUUCGUCCGGGCCGGGCGGCGGGUUCGAUGUCUAUUGGAAUCGCGAAGCC